GACGUAGGGCGCAAGCGUUGUCCGGAUUUAUUGGGCGUAAAGAGCUCGUAGGCGGCUUGUUGCGUCGACCGUGAAAACCCGUGGCUCAACUGCGGGCUUGCGGUCGAUACGGGCGGGCUAGAGUUCGGUAGGGGAGACUGGAAUUCCUGGUGUAGCGGUGAAAUGCGCAGAUAUCAGGAGGAACACCGGUGGUGAAGGCGGGUCUCUGGGCCGAUACUGACGCUGAGGAGCGAAAGCGUGGGGAGCGAACAGG
rnacentral:rRNA from 1 species